GCUACGGGUGGCAGCAGUGAGGAAUAUUGGUCAAUGGGCGCGAGCCUGAACCAGCUAAGUAGCGUGAAGGAUGACUGCCCUACGGGUUGUAAACUUCUUUUAUAAAGGAAUAAAGUGAGGCACGUGUGCCUUUUUGUAUUUACUUUAUGAAUAAGGAUAGGCUAACUCCGUGACAUACGCCGCGGUACUACGGAGGAUCCGUGCGUUAUGCGGAUUUAUUGGGUUUAACGGGAGCGUAGAUGGGUUGUUAAGUCAGUUGUGAAAGUUUGCGGCUCAACCGUAAAAGUGCAAUUGAUACUGGCAGUCUUGAGUACAUUUGAGGUAGGCGGAAUUCGUGGUGUAGCGGUGAAAUGCUUAGAUAUCACGAAGAACUCCGAUUGCGAAGGCAGCUUACUAAGCUGCCACUGACAUUGAUGCUCGAAAGUGUGGGUAUCAAACAGGAUUAGAUACCCCAGUAGUC
rnacentral:rRNA from 1 species